AGAUUUGGGAGGCAGGGAGGGAAUGCUCAAGUGGAAACAAAGUAAGGACCAAGCAGCUCAAGAUUUAACUACUACCUUGCUAAUAGCUUUGUGAGGUAAUUAAGCUAGCUACACGCGUGUUUAUUUCCUGCUAUAACGAAGUCACUAUUCUAAUUUAGAAAAUAGGAAAACGAAGUGUGAUUUAACAGUCUAAUAGCAAAAUGUUGUUAGCAUGAAUAGAAUGUGUGUUGGACGUACUAACUAACAACAGAGUCAAAUUCUUCCCAUGUAGCGGUUGUCAACGGAGACUUGACCAGUCCGGACUUGACAAUCAGACAAUGCAUGGUGUGGGUCGAGAUGAUGUCCAGUCGCCUCCCUCAUCACCUAGACAACGCUACGGAGGGCUCAAAGGUUGAACCUGAAUGUGCUUCUUCCUAUCUCUGGUUCAUCGGCCUCCCGAGACACUCUUGAGAUUCAAACUCAUGGAUGCUGACCAUGGUGAACUGCCAAUCACUACUGAAGACGGAACUACUGCUGUCACAGCCCGCUUUAUCAAGGGUGUUGACAAAAGGGCCACCAAGACUAGAGGCUGGAGCGACUUCUUCCGUCAGGCACACAUGAACAAAGGAAGCAUAUGCUUUCGCCUUCAAAUGCACUUCCAAGGGAUUGCGCCUGAUUGUUAUAGAUGCCUACCAAGACUUCUAUGUUUAUCAUCCUUUUGGAUCUUAUGUAAUCACCUGAGACCAUCCCGUGCAUUUAACUACCGGUUAUUUCCUGCUUAGACUGCUGUGUACUAUGCUUUUCAAACAGCCAUGAUGACAGAAAUAUAUGCUUUCACAUUGAAGUGCA